rnacentral:ncRNA from 1 species
CUCUUAGAGCGUGUCAGAAGCUUAAUCCCUAAUGGGGGUUAGGACAGAACACUUUAAAAGGAUGCACACUCCUUAGAUGAAAAUCUAAAAAACUAAACAGGCGGCAUAGCUGAGUAGCAAUAGCGAAAACUUAUGCCGCUU